AGUGAACGCUGGCGGCGUGCUUAACACAUGCAAGUCGAACGAGAACGGAUUAUAGCUUGCUAUAAUUGUCAGCUAAGUGGCGCACGGGUGAGUAAUGUAUAGGUAAUAUGCCUCUUACUAAGGGAUAACAAAUGGAAACGUUUGCUAAUACCUUAUACUCCUUAUUAACAGAAGUUAAUAAGGGAAAGAUUUAUUGGUAAGAGAUUAGCCUGUAUUGUAUCAGUUAGUUGGUGGGGUAAUGGCUUACCAAGACUAUGACACAUAACUGGUUUGAGAGGAUGAUCAGUCACACUGGAACUGAGACACGGUCCAGACUCCUACGGGAGGCAGCAGUGGGGAAUAUUGCACAAUGGACGAAAGUCUGAUGCAGCAACGCCGCGUGGAGGAUGACACAUUUCGGUGCGUAAACUCCUUUUAUAUGAGAAGAUAAUGACGGUAUUAUAUGAAUAAGCACCGGCUAACUCCGUGCCAGCAGCCGUACGG
rnacentral:rRNA from 1 species